UACGGAGGGUGCAAGCGUUAUCCGGAUUCACUGGGUUUAAAGGGUGCGUAGGUGGGGCUGUAAGUCAGUGGUGAAAUCUCCAAGCUUAACUUGGAACUGCCGUUGAUACUAUAGCUCUUGAAUGUUGUGGAGGUGAGCGGAAUAUGUCAUGUAGCGGUGAAAUGCUUAGAUAUGACAUAGAACACCAAUUGCGAAGGCAGCUCACUAACACAAAUAUUGACACUGAGGCACGAAAGCGUGGG
rnacentral:rRNA from 1 species